rnacentral:tRNA from 1 species
GGUGGCAUAGUUAAGUGGUUAAGGUUAAGGUCUGCAAAACCUUAAUCCCCGGUUCAAAUCCGGGUGCCACCU